rnacentral:miRNA from 14 species
ACGCCGGGUUCUCUGUGGAAGUGGCCGCUCGGUUCUGAGCUGGCCCGUGGGCCUCGGGGUUC